rnacentral:ribozyme from 1 species
GGUGUGCGAUAGGCAUACCUCCAUGUGGUGCACACUGGGCAACGUAUACUCAUACGGCAAAAAAAGUCUAU